UCUCCGUAGGUGAACCUGCGGAGGGAUCAUUACCGAGUGAGGGUUCCGGCCCGACCUCCAACCCUUUGUGAAUUCGACCCAGUUGCCUCGGGGGCGACCCUGCCGCUUCGGCGGUGCGGCGCCCCCGGAGGCCAUUAAACACUGCAUCAUUGCGUCGGAGUUAAAGUAAAUUAAACAAAACUUUCAACAACGGAUCUCUUGGUUCCAGCAUCGAUGAAGAACGCAGC
rnacentral:misc_RNA from 1 species